GGUGGGAGAGAAAAACAGAAAGGAAGAAGAACCAGAGAGGGAGAUAGAUAGACAUGUACAUAUAUGUAUGUAUAAUGCAUAUAUUUAUAUAUUAUUUUUAUUAUUAUACGAUCGAACGCCACGCAUCCUUUUCCAAGAAGGACUGUUUUAACGAAGUCGCGAACAACAGCCCAGUCAAGAUGGUAUUUUUUCUUCUCUUACUCUUUUUUUUUGCAAGCAUCUUCAAAAUGACUUUCUAAAAUCAAAUUCCAUUAUGCAGCUGAGGAGUACAUUUUCAUUACACAUUUUAUGUAGUGUUCUCACUACAUGAAUAAAUGAAGUUUGUACGAAACGUAUGUACUGCUAUAACCUA